GACGAACGCUGGCGGCGUGCCUAAUACAUGCAAGUCGAACGCAGUGGGGCCGGGUGAGUAACACGUGGGUAACCUCCCCUACGAGGGGAUAACACUUGGAAACAGGUGCUAAACCGAUACUGAUUGAUGGACCCUCGGUGCAUUAGCUAGGUGGUGAGGUAACGGCUCACCAAGGCCACGAUGCAUAGCCGACCUGAGAGGGUGGUCGGCCACACUGAGACUGAGACACGGACCAGACUCCUACGGGAGGCAUCAGUAGGGAAUCUUCGGCAAUGGACGAAAGUCUGACCGAGCAACGCCGCGUUAGUGAAGAAGGUUUUCGGAUCGUAAAACUCUGUUGUUAGUGAAGCGGUAUCUAACCAGAAAGCCACGGCUAACUACGUGCCAGCCGCCGCGGUAAUAC
rnacentral:rRNA from 1 species